CCUUACAGAACCCGUCAAAUGUGUUUUGGAAACUUGUUGAAUUGCUGAUUGGUCACUGGCUAUCCAGAAUACAUGAGAGAGGGACAUGAGGACUUUGCUGCGCACUGUUUUAUUACAUGCAACAUAGAUAGAAUUUGGAUUCUUGGCAAGAGUUCAAGUUUUUUCAGCUAAGUUAUUUAGUUGCAACUUGCUCUUUCUAUAGUUCUACUUUUUUGCAGUACAUUUUGAGUUUUAUUUUUUCUCCAUGACUCGAUGAGUAGGAAUAAAAACUACCAACAGUAUGCUAAUCUUCUAGUGAAGCAGAAUUUCAUUACUAGACCAAGGUUUCUAAAACAUCAACUGAUCUAGCAAACGGUAAGGAAAAUGAAGUUAUUUCUUCUAAAGGUACUGGUCAAAAUUGUGCAAAAGUUUUUUGGGAAGAGGUUAACCAUAAGAGUUCAAAAUCACCAAUUGUUUUUCAAACACUUCGUGAGGAAGACACAAAAUUUAAAGAAGAAAACAUAGAAUCUAAAGAGAGCGAUUUAGAAUAUGAAGAGGAAGACUCAAAAUUCGUAGAGUCGGUUGUAAAUCCUCAGAAAAUCGUUUUUGCUCAAGAAAAAGAGAUGGAUCUUCCUAAAGCUACCUGAGUUAAUAUUUUCAAAGAUAACAGGAAGCAGGAUGAUGUUAUUAACUCCAAACUUUUGAUGAUCUCCAAGACGAAGUUAUUUUGGGUGAGCAAGAUGUGGAUGAUGCCGAAAUAGCUUGGAGGUAUUGCUCAGUAGGAUAUUUUGUUGGAAGAUUUCUUGCUAAGACUGCACUUCUUCAAUUGUGCGAUUUUUGGAAAGCGAAGUACCACCAUUUUUCUCAUAAUAGUGGUUGGUUGAUCUUUAAAUUAGAUGAUGGGGCAAAUAGAUUGAGUGUGUUGGAUGAUAGUCCUUAUUUCAUUUUUUUGGAGGCUCUUAAUAUUAAAAAUCAUGUAUCAAUGUUUCGAGUUUGAUGAUAAGGAGAUUAGUUUCAUGUCUGUUUACAUUAUUUAUCGGGACUACCUUUGAACUAUUGAACACAAAUGCUUUGGGUAAAAUUGUAUCUAAAAUGGGGAAGCCAAUUACGACGAAUAAACUUACAUCAACUAAGGGAAGAUUAUCUUAUGCUUGAAUUCUUGUUGAGGUUGAUGCAUCCAAAGAAUUGGUCCUAUUCAUUUAUGUGAAAUGCCAAUCGAUAAGUCUAGAGAGCAACAAGAUUUUACGAGUACUAGUUGAAGUUUUGCUCAACUGGUAAGGUGUCCGGAACUCAAUACUCAGUUGCAACUAUCUUCAAGAAGUUAGUAAUGGGAUUCGACACUUAAUGUUUUAGCUUGAUUGGUUGAAGUUGUUACAAGUAACGAAAGUUCAUGUUUUUGAUUCAUUUUAAAUUUCUUGCUUUGGGUCAUUAGAUCUUUGUAAUAUUUGGUAUGUAAGCUUGGGCAUACUUGGAGUAGUUAUACUUUAUUUUUGAUCUAUAGAUAUUUGUAUUUGCUGAUUAAAAAAGGAAAGACCUCUCAAUCAGUUAACGAGUUAAAGAGAGAUGGUGAGAAAAACCUUAAUAGUUGGCCCCUUGCUUUUGUGAGAUUCUUAUUAAAAUCUCAAUUCUUGCCUUUCCUCCUUUGGUAAAUUUGAAUAUAGCGAGCUGUUUAUGCGUAGUUGCAAAUUCAAUUAUUUCUUGCUGCAAAUUCAAAAUUUUCUGCAGAUUUCGAGCCUCAUAUGAAAACCCUGCUUAUCACCUACAUUGUUUUUUGAAUUUUGCCUGCUUUCCAGUUUCCAGCUUAGUUGUAGUACAGACUCAUUAUUCUAAACAAUAUGCUUAUUGAUGAAAAAACCCAAUAAGCACCGUGUUCUGCUUCCUGUUAAGUAGAGGUUUGAAGUUCAAGCGAAGGAUGCCAAAACCUUAAUUGAUUUCGUUAUAGUGCAAGGUAAGGAUGAAAAUGCUUCUUCUCGCAUUUCUACAUCGCAGUCCUUUUUUCUUUGUUUUUUGCACCGCCUUUUGCUUUUUCUUUUGGAUUUUCAGUUAUCUAUGUACAUUGGGUAAGACUAGUUGACAUGUUAUAUAUUCCAAAAGUUCAGUUUUUUGUCUUUAGUGGAAAAUGCAAAGACUAAUAAUUAGAUUGGAUGGUCUAGGGUCGAUUAGACAUGAUUUAAUUAUUGUAGCUUGAAUAAUUUAUGUACGAUCAAGUCCCUAUGGUAGAUCUAUAAGAUAUAAGAACUUAAUUCUGAUAAUUAUAAUA